GUAAACAGACACUAGCGGUUCUCUCAUGUUUUUCUCGUGUGUUUAGCAUACAGCCCGCGCACACCUCUUCAUUCAAACGGUGACAUCGUGUGACUCAGGUGUUUGUUUAAAAGACUGCUUGAGUCUCUCCUGUAAAGACAUCUUGGUCAUUUAAAGAUUGAGCAGUUUAAUUUUACAGAGCAAUCAAUAAAGCACUCUGUGGAUUUCUGAGUGCUAUUGACAGGACGUCCUUAAACCCUUCCCCCAACUACUGGCCCUUGUUUAAAUUAAAGGAAGGUUCUUCAGAGUUGGACAAGCAGCUUCGUCUUUCCUUGUGGCAAUGGCAGUGUUAAAUCUCCAUUCCAACCCUCCUCCCUCCCUCGCUCUCCAUCUCCCCUCCCACACUCGCCUCCUCCUUCUGCCUCUGCUUUUAUUUUCUUCCCUUUAAUCUCAUGCCUUUUCUGUCUGAAGAGGACAUGUGCUUCUGAAACCUGUCAUGGUCUACGAUCUUGUCCUUGAUGUGAUUGCAGGCCCCAGAAUGUUUGUCUGACGUGAAUGGAGGAUUUCUGCUAAAGUUUGAGAUGAAUGAAUAAAUAAACAAAUUAAUCA
rnacentral:lncRNA from 1 species